UACAGAGGGUGCGAGCGUUGUCCGGAAUCACUGGGCGUAAAGGGCGCGUAGGCGGCCCGAUAAGUAGGGGGUGAAAUCCCGUGGCUCAACUGCGGGACUGCCUCCUAGACUGUCGGGCUCGAGCACGGUAGAGGCAGGUGGAAUUCCCGGUGUAGCGGUGGAAUGCGUAGAGAUCGGGAAGAACAUCGGUGGCGAAGGCGGCCUGCUGGGCCGUUGCUGACGCUGAGGCGCGACAGCGUGGGGAGCAAACAGG
rnacentral:rRNA from 1 species